UUUUUAGGGGUUUGUGAUUCGGAUUCUGCUAAAACCCUCAAGCAGCCCCAAAUUCAUUGGUCUCUAGUUGGGGUUCCAAAUCCCCGAACGUUACAGGCGAUUGAAGAGAAUGGUUUUGUCGAAUAAGAAGCUAAAGCAGAAGCUUAGAGCGGCUAAAGCUGAAUUAUUGGCAGCUUCAGAAGCUCAAAACCAAUCCAUAAACAAAAAUUUCCAGAACCCGGAAUACCUAGAUUUAGGGACCCAAAAAUCUCUCAAUUCCCUUCUUGAGUCAGCAUCCCAGAAGCCCAGAUUGUCAAAGAGAGAAAAACGCAGACAAAAGGCACCUUCUUUGCAAGAAAAUGAUGAGAAAUUGAAUAAAGACGAAGAUGCUGGGUCAGGGGGUAUGGCUGAAUAUGAAAAGAGGAAAAACAAAAGGAAAAGAGAUGAAAAUCAGGAACUGGAAAAUGGGGAGGUGAAGAAGGUGAAAAAGUUGAGCAAAAAGAAGAAAAAGAAGAAGAAGAAAAAGAAGAAAGAGAGGAAGGGGAAAGAAGUGGAGGAGAAUGGAGAGGUGCAGGAGAGCUUGGGAACUGAGGCCGGUGUGAUUGAUGACCAAGAUUUAACACAGAGGGUUGAUUAUGAUAAUAGUGAAGGAAGUUUGGAUGCCGGUACUAAAGUUUAUGUUGGAGGUAUACCAUACUACUCGAGUGAAGAUGAUAUUAGGAGUUAUUUUGAAGGUUGUGGCACCAUAACUGAAAUUGACUGUAUGAAGUUUCCAGAGAGCGGAAAAUUCAGAGGGAUUGCCAUCAUUAGUUUCAAGACUGAAGCUGCAGCAAGGAGAGCGUUGGCCCUUGAUGGGUCUGACAUGGGAGGCCUAUUCCUAAAAAUUCAACCUUACAAAUCUGCUAGAGUUACCAAAACGUCUAACUUUGCUCCUAAAAUUGUGGAGGGGUACAAUAGGAUCUACAUUGGAAAUUUGUCCUGGGAUAUCACUGAAGAUGAUUUGAGGAAAUUUUUUUCAGUCUGCAAUAUUACGUCCAUCCGUUUUGGUGAAGACAAAGAAACAGGAGAUUUCCAAGGUUAUGCCCAUGUGGAUUUUUCAGAUAGUCUUUCCCUGAACACAGCAUUGAAAUUGGAUCAGAAGAUUGUUUGUGGAAGACCCAUUCGAAUAUCGUGUGCUGUUCCAAAGAAAGGAUCAGAAGAUAAGACAAAACUGUUACCAGAAAUUAAUCAAGCUGUUGGUGAUGGUGCGACUGCUGUUAGCGGGAAGAUUCGGAGGAGGACAUGUUACGAGUGUGGAGAGCGUGGCCACCUUUCAUCUUCUUGCCCAAAGAAGCAAGCAGCUGACCAAACGAGUCUUCAAACAAGUUAAUUUUGCGGACUGGCUCUCGAGGUCCAAGGAGCUGGAAGGCAUAAGAUGAUUUAGCUCUCUGUUUUAUUGCAUUGUAGAAUCUGUCUCGUAUCACACUGAAAUUGGAGUCUGAGAAAGCACAGAGACUCCUCCUCUUAGUCCUCAAAAUAUAAAUUCCUUCCCCAGUUUCACGGGUGGCUUGGCUUUGACUUUGGAAACUGGAAACUGGAAACUAGGGAGCUUAGUUGUUUUUUUUGUGAAUUUGGCCCGUGAGUCGCCUUUCUAGUCACAGGUCCUGAUUCACAACCAUUGUGUUGGAAAUUUUCCCCUUUGAUGUUGGCAUUCUCCCCUACAAUGAACUCCUAGGGGUCAACGGGCUACUACCCAAGAAAUACUCCUAUUUCAUGUCGAAUUUCUCCGAGUGAUCUUCUCUUUACAACCCCCGAGCAGCACACCAGUCUUCGUCCAAAUUCUACCUAGAAUUGGUAUUGUUGUAGGAUCAUUGGCUACCAAAAGACACAGAUCCGAAAGAGGAUGGAUACUAGCAGCUACUAUAGACUAGUUCAAUUUUCAGCAGGAAAUCAUGAAUUUUAGCACCGGAUUUGCGGCGGGUAUUAAGACCCAUGGUUUGUUGGUUAGCUACUACAUGUCCCCCAGCCCCCAAAAGGGCCAAAACCCAGCCUGCCUUAAGUCUCAGAAAUUAGUUAAGUGGAAUUCUGUACGGGGCAUUGGCUUCCAAAUCUCAACUGAUUUUACCCGCCACCUUCCUCUCUUUCCUAAGCCCUUGUCCCCCUCGCAUAUUUCUCUUCCACUCUUCCUCUUCCUACAUAUACCUACUACAACAUCUAUUCAUGUACACGGCCAAGUGGGAUUCCUCUACAGUUUAAAACUCUUCAGAUUUCCUAUUUUUUUUCCCCUUCUGAUCUGGGGUAAGAAAGUUGGGUGGAUAUGGCAGUGGCUAAUUCCAGGCCUAGUACAGAGCUGUUGAUGCCCAAGAAAUGGAAUGAGAGAUCAGAUAGGAGUCCUGAGAGAACUAAGAUAUGUUCCGAACAACCAAAAUUCAACUCCAUUCUCGACGGGAAAGUCCCCGUCAUUUACUACCUCGCCAGAAAUGGCCACCUCGAGCACCCUCAUUUCAUCCAAGUUCCCCCCUCUUCCUCUCACGGCCUUUAUCUAAGAGAUGUCAUAAAUAAAUUGAAUUUUCUCAGAGGAAAUGGCAUGGCUCAUAUGUACUCGUGGUCCUCCAAAAGGAACUAUAAGAAUGGGUACGUGUGGCAGGACUUAACGGAGGACGAUUUGAUUCAACCAACCAACGAUCGCGAUUACAUUCUCAAGGGAUCAGAGCUGCUGCAUUCCUCACCCAUCGUCCGAUCACUCCAACCAACCAAAAACGAUGCUCACGAUUCCUCUUCUUACUCGAGAAGGAAGGAAAAUCGGUCCUGGGGUUCCUUUGAUAAUUCCACUGCGAGUUCUUUCAAAAACAACGAGUACCGAGUUUACAAGUGCGAGUCGAGUCGCGAACUCGGAGGUAAGCUAGCUGACAUGGCAACUCAGACGGAGGAUAAGCGACGUUUGAGUAGGAGUUUGCGGGAGGAGUACUUUAACAAGAGCGUGGAGUUGUGUAGGGAAGAACUGUCUCCCCCGUCGAUGCCUAGCUCAGAAGGAUUGGACGGUGUGAGUGGAUCUAGAGCCGUCGAACGAUGUCCUGGAGUCGAUGAUCGUCGGACGGCUGAGAAUGGGUGCACCAGUGGGAGAAUCAAGCCUUCUCGUGUUCUGAAUUUGAUGCACUUGAUUACUUGUGGAUCGUCGAUCGCGGUUAAGGAUCGCGGUUCAAUGAAGAAAAAGGAAAGGCGGGGGUAUUUGAUGGGCGUGAAAUUUGGAAGCACGGUGUUACGCCAUGUAGGGAACCUAUAAGGUUCUGCAAAUUGCAAUAAUGUAACGUGAAAGGUUUACUUCUUAUUAAGCCCUUCAAAA